CGCUCAGACGCCGCGCGGGGCGGGGAUUGGUCUGUGCUCUUCUCUCCGCUCCUCGCGGCUCGCGGCGG